AGAUUAAGUUAUUAAGGGCGCACGGUGGAUGCCUUGGCACUAGAAGCCGAUGAAGGACGUUACUAACGACGAUAUGCUUUGGGGAGCUGUAAGUAAGCUUUGAUCCAGAGAUUUCCGAAUGGGGAAACCCAGCAUGAGUUAUGUCAUGUUAUCGAUAUGUGAAUACAUAGCAUAUCAGAAGGCACACCCGGAGAACUGAAACAUCUUAGUACCCGGAGGAAGAGAAAGAAAAUUCGAUUCCCUUAGUAGCGGCGAGCGAAACGGGAAGAGCCCAAACCAACAAGCUUGCUUGUUGGGGUUGUAGGACACUCUAUACGGAGUUACAAAGGACGACAUUAGACGAAUCAUCUGGAAAGAUGAAUCAAAGAAGGUAAUAAUCCUGUAGUCGAAAAUGUUGUCUCUCUUGAGUGGAUCCUGAGUACGACGGAGCACGUGAAAUUCCGUCGGAAUCUGGGAGGACCAUCUCCUAAGGCUAAAUACUCUCUAGUGACCGAUAGUGAACCAGUACCGUGAGGGAAAGGUGAAAAGCACCCCGGAAGGGGAGUGAAAUAGAACCUGAAACCGUGUGCUUACAAGUAGUCAGAGCCCGUUAAUGGGUGAUGGCGUGCCUUUUGUAGAAUGAACCGGCGAGUUACGAUUUGAUGCAAGGUUAAGCAGUAAAUGUGGAGCCGUAGCGAAAGCGAGUCUGAAUAGGGCGUUUAGUAUUUGGUCGUAGACCCGAAACCAGGUGAUCUACCCUUGGUCAGGUUGAAGUUCAGGUAACACUGAAUGGAGGACCGAACCGACUUACGUUGAAAAGUGAGCGGAUGAACUGAGGGUAGCGGAGAAAUUCCAAUCGAACCUGGAGAUAGCUGGUUCUCUCCGAAAUAGCUUUAGGGCUAGCCUCAAGUGAUGAUUAUUGGAGGUAGAGCACUGUUUGGACGAGGGGCCCCUCUCGGGUUACCGAAUUCAGACAAACUCCGAAUGCCAAUUAAUUUAACUUGGGAGUCAGAACAUGGGUGAUAAGGUCCGUGUUCGAAAGGGAAACAGCCCAGACCACCAGCUAAGGUCCCAAAAUAUAUGUUAAGUGGAAAAGGAUGUGGCGUUGCCCAGACAACUAGGAUGUUGGCUUAGAAGCAGCCAUCAUUUAAAGAGUGCGUAAUAGCUCACUAGUCGAGUGACACUGCGCCGAAAAUGUACCGGGGCUAAACAUAUUACCGAAGCUGUGGAUUGUCCUUUGGACAAUGGUAGGAGAGCGUUCUAAGGGCGUUGAAGCAUGAUCGUAAGGACAUGUGGAGCGCUUAGAAGUGAGAAUGCCGGUGUGAGUAGCGAAAGACGGGUGAGAAUCCCGUCCACCGAUUGACUAAGGUUUCCAGAGGAAGGCUCGUCCGCUCUGGGUUAGUCGGGUCCUAAGCUGAGGCCGACAGGCGUAGGCGAUGGAUAACAGGUUGAUAUUCCUGUACCACCUAUAAUCGUUUUAAUCGAUGGGGGGACGCAGUAGGAUAGGCGAAGCGUGCGAUUGGAUUGCACGUCUAAGCAGUAAGGCUGAGUAUUAGGCAAAUCCGGUACUCGUUAAGGCUGAGCUGUGAUGGGGAGAAGACAUU
rnacentral:rRNA from 1 species